rnacentral:lncRNA from 15 species
UCUGCUCAUUAUUCACAUUAUUCACAUUAUAUACACAUUAUAUACUGUACAUUAUAUACAUUAUAUAUCUGCUCAUUAUUCACAUUAAUCACAUUAUAUGCAUUAUAUACUGUACAUAUAUAAUAUAUAUAUAUUUAUAUAAAUAUAUUCCUGCAUUCAAACCUUACUUUAGUAAAAGUACACAGCUGUUAUUAAAAGUCACUCAGUUACAUUUCAUUUAGUCAUCUUUAUAUGUCGUUCCAGUUGGCUUAAUUUACUGUGUAAUAAUAAUAAUAAUAAUAACAAUAAUAAUAUUAAUAAUACCUUAUUUUAUAUGAAACCAUAUAAGUAAGUGAAGUAAUUAAAGCUGUCAGAUAAAUGCAGUGGAGUCGAAGUAGAAAGAUAAAAGAAUAUAAAGAUACCACAGUUACUAAGUUUUAUUAAAACAGACAGAACAAAUGACAUUUACACAUUAUUCAUUCUCACACUCACCACUGAAAGUGUGUGUUUCCUCCUUACAGUGAUUGACAGCUGAGGGGGCGGAGCCAGCACAGUCCUGCAGCUUGAGUCAACUACAGGCCGCCAUGUUGGUUCUGGUGUGGUUAUUGAUCCUGAUGAUGAUGAUGGCGAUGAAGAGUGACGCUGCCUCUGCUGGGAUCAUCACUGCAUACAGCGGAGAGACCGUUCUGCUGACAUCAAACCUGAAGGAGGUGGAGCUGAAGAACAUAAGUGACGUCAGGUGGACUCACCCCCAGCUGGUGGUCUCACUGAAGAGGAACAAUACAAUAUGUCCAAACCGACGCUGCGAGCUGCUGAAGGACGGCUCACUGAGAUUCAGCCGAGUUCAGACUGACGACUCUGGACACUACAUCAUGAGCCUGUUCGAUGAAGAGGGAAACAACAUGAAGAUGACUUACUUCCGGCUCGUAGUGGAGGAUCGCAGUAGUAGCAGCAGCAGCAGCAGAAGUGUCGUGGUGUCUGUCUCGAUGUGCUGCUUCCUCCUGCUGCUGUUCUUUGUCAUCCUCUUCGUGGUCAUGAGGAAGAGAAACCUGAGGAUGAGGACGACCACAGGUUCGUUGCACGAAAAUGUUUAUGUGGUGAUGCACGGUAACCAUAGCAACGACAAGAAAGAGGAGGAGGAGAAGAAGCAGGAGAAAGAGGAAGAGAAUCUUUAUGGUAACACACACACAUACAUUAACGGUUGCUAACAUAUGCUAACAUAUGCUAACUCGUUCUUCUCUCCACAGUCUCCUGUAAUCCUGGGGUUCCCAUGGAAACACCAAUCACACAGCAGAUGUGUGUGGAUGACAUCUACGUGUGACAGCCAAUCAGAAACUGUUUCAUCCACUGCCUCCUACUUGCUUGUAUUUCUUUAUUUCUAAUUUUCUAUCAAAAUAAACGUGUACGUAGACUUUGUGGAGGAUUCUGUUAUUUGUGUGUUGGACAGUUGAACAUGUCUGUCAGUGAUUACCACUCAGUUACUGACAUAAAGUGGG